AGCAGCCGCGGUAAUUCCAGCUCCAAUAGCGUAUAUUAAAGUUGUUGCAGUUAAAAAGCUCGUAGUUGAAUUUCGGAAUCUGUCCGUUGGUCGGGCUUCAUUGUCCGUACUGAUGUGAUGGGUUCUUACCUUCUGAAUAACCAGCAUGUCAUUAAUUUGGUGUGUUGGGGAAGCAGGACUAUUACCUUGAAAAAAUUAGAGUGCUCAAAGCAGGCUAGUGCCUGAAUACAUUAGCAUGGAAUAAUAAAAUAGGACGGCAUGGUUCUAUUUUGUUGGUUUCUAGGAUCACCGUAAUGAUUAAUAGGGAUAGUUGGGGGCAUUAGUAUUCAAUUGUCAGAGGUGAAAUUCUUGGAUUUAUUGAAGACUAACUUCUGCGAAAGCAUUUGCCAAGGAUGUUUUCAUUAAUCAAGAACGAAAGUUAGGGGAUCGAAGACGAUCAGAUACCGUCGUAGUCUUAACCAUAAACUAUGCCGACUAGGGAUCGGACGAUGUUAAUUUUAUAAUGACUUCG
rnacentral:rRNA from 1 species